rnacentral:rRNA from 1 species
UACAGAGGGGGCCAGCGUUAUUCGGAAUUAUUGGGCGUAAAGGGCGCGUAGGCGGCCAUGCGUGUCUUCCGUGAAAUCCCCGGGCUUAACCUGGGAACUGCAUUUGUGACUGCAUGGCUGGAGUGCGGCAGAGGGGGAUGGAAUUCCGCGUGUAGCAGUGAAAUGCGUAGAUAUCAGGAGGAACACCGGUGGCGAAGGCGGGUCUCUGGGCCGAUACUGACGCUGAGGAGCGAAAGCGUGGGGAGCAAACAGG